rnacentral:rRNA from 1 species
GACGAACGCUGGCGGCGUGCUUAACACAUGCAAGUCGAACGGUGAAGCGCUUUCCUUUUUGGUUGGUGUGGAUGAGUGGCGAACGGGUGAGUAACACGUGAGUAACCUGCCCCCUUCUUCUGGAUAACCGCAUGAAAGUGUGGCUAAUACGGGAUAUUCUGCGCCUGCUGCAUGGUGGGUGUGGGAAAGAUUGUACCUUUGGGUGUUUUCGGUGGGGGAUGGGCUCGCGGCCUAUCAGCUUGUUGGUGGGGUGAUGGCCUACCAAGGCGGUGACGGGUAGCCGGCCUGAGAGGGUGGACGGUCACACUGGGACUGAGACACGGCCCAGACUCCUACGGGAGGCAGCAGUGGGGAAUAUUGCACAAUGGGCGCAAGCCUGAUGCAGCGACGCCGCGUGAGGGAUGGAGGCCUUCGGGUUGUGAACCUCUUUCGCCAGUGAAGCAGGCCUGCUCCUUGUGGGUGGGUUGACGGUAGCUGGAUAAGAAGCGCCGGCUAACUACGUG